AUAUUCUAGGAGGAUGGUUUUAUAAAUGUGAGCUGAGCUGUGAUUAAGACACUGAGCCAUUAUCUGCAGGAGUAUUGGGAGAAGAAGAACAAAUGGCACAACAUGAAGAGGGAGGAAGAAGAGACUGAGGGGUUCACAGACAUCCUGCAGAGGCAAAGGCCCAUGCCACACAACACAAGGAGAAAGGACAGCUAGAGGCCAUGUGUGGACACGGGGCCUUAGAGACUACUGAACUGCUGGAGAAGCUUGGGACAUGUGAGGAGGAACCAGCCACCAGGGGAGGCAUCAGAGCCAGCUGAGCCUGCAUCAGCUGUCUGCAGGAAGGAGAAAAGCUCUGAGUUUUCACACAGAAGAUGGACUCGGCGGUGUUUGGGACUUGCUCGCGCUGUUUUGCGUGAAGGCUGAGACGGUUUGGGACUACACCCUGCGCUCACCCCUCAGGAACUUACAAGAGGAAGAAGAAUGGUAAGUCUGACAGUGCACCAGCUGUGACGCUGUCACUCCAAGUGACUCCAAAAGGCCAUAGCUCAGUCACAUUCCUGGGGGACAUCUCUAGUCUGGGCAAUCUCCAAAUGGAAAAAUGAUACUCCUGUACGCUGACUCUUUUUUUAACCAUAUUCAAUUAUACAGUUCAUUCCGUAGACUUGACUAUAGUAUAAGCUACCAAACACUCACAUUGCAGGAGCACGUUUACCGGUUAUUUGGGCAAAGUAACCAUUUCAGAUGAAAUGUUCCAUCCUGGGUUAUUCCAGCUAGAGGAUUAGGCUCAGUUUUUGCUGGUAAGAUUUGCCCUCAGGCCAUCCAGGUCCCUGGGCCUGCUAGCCUGGUCUGUGGGAGUGAAACAUUAAGGCAA